ACAGGCUGAUGAUGUCACAGUGCCACAGGUUUAUGAGGUCACUGCAGAUCCCACCAUGGGCUAGGAGCUCCCACUUGGUGGAGCAUCAUUCAGUGGUCCUGAUGUGAUAACUCAGGAUACAGAAAUGAGCGUGAAAGGAAGAAGCAGUUUUAGGGUGAUCAGACGAGACCAUCCACACCCUCCCGGGUCCAGUCAAGCUUUCUCUCUUUUCGGAAUUCCGUCUCCUUGGGAGCCACACUUAGAGGGAACUUUACCUGGAUGUUGGCAGAGGGCACUGGGACAGUGGAAGGGACCCAGACUGAAUUAACAAACGGCCCUCAUUGCCUGUGCUUGGGGUUAGGCAGGGAAGAAAACAUCCUUGAAGGAAAGCACACAGACGAACAGAGGCUCUGUGACAGGACCUUGACCAAGCACUCUUAUUUAGACCUGAACUCUCAGGAGUGUCUCAAGAGAAUCAAUGAAUGAAGAACACCGGAACCUGGUUGUGUACACACACCUGUGCACUCUGGACUCACAGGCAAGCAAGACAGACUGAGCGCUCAAGCCUCUGCAAGGCUCUCUUCAGGACGCCAGCCCUGUAACAGCGCCCAGCCUCAGCUGCUCUCUUCAGGCCUUCAUAUUCUUUUUUUUUUUUUUUCUCGGAGCUGGGGACCGAACCCAGGGCCUUGCGCUUGCUAGGCAAGCGCUCUACCACUGAGCUAAAUCCACAACCACGCCUUCAAAACCAGUACCACCUGGGCGACUCUUACACUACCGAGGUCGGCUACCAGCAGGAGAUAUGACCUUGGCCAAAUCUCCAGAGCACAUCUUGCAUAGACUGACUGAGUGCAAACCCUUCUCAGAAGGCUUUACCUCAGUGACACUAAUCUCUUAAUCACAGCUGAUUCUUCAGCCCCAGCCAACCAGUGUGCAUUGUGUUAACAAAAUAAAGGCUUUACAUCAGUGUU